rnacentral:rRNA from 1 species
CACGUAGGGGGCAAGCGUUGUCCGGAUUUAUUGGGCGUAAAGAGCUCGUAGGCGGUGUGUCGCGUCGGCCGUGAAAACCUGCAGCUUAACUGUGGGCGUGCGGUCGAUACGGGCAUCACUGGAGUUCGGCAGGGGAGACUGGAAUUCCUGGUGUAGCGGUGAAAUGCGCAGAUAUCAGGAAGAACACCCGUGGCUAAGGCGGUUCUCUAGUACGGUACUGACGCUGAGACGCGAAAGCGUGGGGAGCGAACGG